AUUGAACGCUGGCGGCAGGCCUAACACAUGCAAGUCGAGCGGAUGAAGGGAGCUUGCUCCUGGAUUCAGCGGCGGACGGGUGAGUAAUGCCUAGGAAUCUGCCUGGUAGUGGGGGAUAACGUCCGGAAACGGGCGCUAAUACCGCAUACGUCCUGAGGGAGAAAGUGGGGGAUCUUCGGACCUCACGCUAUCAGAUGAGCCUAGGUCGGAUUAGCUAGUUGGUGGGGUAAAGGCCUACCAAGGCGACGAUCCGUAACUGGUCUGAGAGGAUGAUCAGUCACACUGGAAAUGAGAAACGGGCCAGACUCCUAAGGGAGGCAGCAGGGGGGAAUAUUGGACAAUGGGCGAAAGCCUGAUCCAGCCAUGCCGCGUGUGUGAAGAAGGUCUUAGGAUUGUAAAGCACUUUAAGUUGGGAGGAAGGGCAGUAAGUUAAUACCUUGCUGUUUUGACGUUACCAACAGAAUAAGCACCGGCUAACUUCGUG
rnacentral:rRNA from 1 species